rnacentral:sRNA from 1 species
AGUGAAAAUAAGAAUAAGAAUAAAAGUAAAAGUAAAAAUAAAAGUAAAAAUAAAAAUAUUAAAGUGAGAAUAAGAAUAAAAAUAAAAAUGAAAAUAAAAAUAAAAAUAAAAAUAAAAAUAAGAGUAAAAAUGAGAAUAAGAGUAUUAGAAUAAGAAUGAGAAUAAAAGUAAGAGUAAUUUAGAGUUAGAAUUAAAGAAUGAGAGUGAGAAUAAGAAUUAGAGUUAAAGUUGAAAUAAGUAUAAUUUAAAAUUGAAGUUAAAGAAUGAGAAUAAAAAUGAAAGUAAAAGUGAGAAUGAGAAUUAGAGUUAAAGUUAAAAUAAGAGUGAUUUAAAGUUAGAGUUAAAGAAUAAAAGUGAGAAUGAGAGAUAGAAUUAGAGUAAAAGUAAGAGUGAUUUAGAGUUAGAGUU